rnacentral:lncRNA from 1 species
GGCUUUUUCAUUAAAGUCUUUAAUAGGUGUGCAAGAAUAGAAAUGAUCUCAGCUGUUAAGGGUUAGCGUACCAUCUUCUGCACAAGGAAAACGGGCUAGCAAAGAUCUGAACUAAGUAAUUAUACAAAACUACAAGAACAUAUUUACUGCUUUACAAUCAUUAAAUUAGCUAGAGUUUUCAUUUACUAUUUCAGAUAUGACAACUAUAGACCAUCUCAUUACCGGAUCCAUUUAUAAUAUAUUAGGACUUUUUUUUUUCUCAAACCACACAUUUAAUUACAUCCUUCAGUUUCUUUAAUAUAUAAAACAAGUACUUUAUAUAAAAAUUUCCCCUUCAUCAUAAACAAGAAUGUUAUUCAUACACUUGCACGUAAGCAACCAAACUCAUAACCAGCAAACUAUUUGGCAACACAGCAAUGUCGUAAAUGCCUUCAACUAGAAGAAACCGAGGCCAGCGGGGCUGUUGCUGGAGCCAGCAGGUCGUUCUCUUCCCACCCACAGCAGCGAAAUGAAUCCGAUGCUACUAGAAGUCCGAGUGGAGCAAACACACACACGCACACCAAAGGGAGGAUCCCCCUGAUCAGGGUCACCCCGCUCUCAGUCACACCGUGGCCUAACUAAAAUGUGUGCAGCUGGAAAAUGGAAGGAGCGGAUGAGUCACAACCAAGGGGGGAAGCGGGGACCGAGCCAGGCAGGAACGGCCCUCAUGGGAACAGCCCUGGGCUGGAUCCUGCCUUCCCCUGGGGAGCGAUUAGCACUGGCUCCAGCUCAGCUUCCGGGCCACCACGGAGACCCCCACGCUCAGACAGAUGGGGUCACUGCCCCAAAGGCUUGUGGGGGCUACAAACAGGCUUGUUAACCAAUGGUCAGUUGGGAAUUUGAGAGAAUAUUUUGGCAGUCUCAUCCUAGCACCUCAUGACUUGCUUGGAUGUGAAUCCGAGAGAUGUCAUGUUCAGCACCGAGUGUGAUGCUGUACCCUGAGAAACCUAUAUGUUAAUGCAAAGAGAGUGGAGGAAGGUCCAAGUGGGCCUGCACCUCGCACCUGCUGAGGUGUCCGUCUUUGGGCUUCCUGCACUGUUCCCUCUCCCCACCCUCCCAGAUCCAAGCCACACGACUCAUGGAACAAAAAGCUAGCACGGAGACCUCCAUAGCCCUGGCUACGGUCACCUGCAGCAGAGGCAGGUGGGGCUUUACAAGCCUUUGGAACAUUUUCUAUGGCAGUGGACACUUCCUUAAAAGAAGUGACCGGACUUUUCCAAAGCUGGACAAGAAAGCAUCGUGUUGACCACUGUGAAACUAACACUGACCCCAUCCCACUCCCCACCCCCACCCCUUUUUAAUUUUCCCGUUUCCAAAAGAGAAGGGAUUUAAUAGACAGAUUUCAAAUUGCCUAAUUUUUCAAGUGGUUCCCACUCCCCCGGGCCAUCUUGACAUAUAUAAAACCUAUGGUUGAGCUUCAUCAAGCAAUCCUUUCUUGUAAGCAGAAUGGUUAUUUAGUAAUAUACAUAUUCUCAAAGCAAAGAGAUUAUUAGAAGUAGGAGGUGUGCUUUAUCAGGAAAACGGGUUAUGUUUAUGGAUACUCUAGAUUUAAUAUUUAAACUUUUAAGGCUAGCUCCAUUAUACUUUUUCCCCCUAUUUUCUAAUUCGGAAUAUCAUAUUACUGAUAAAAAUAUUUUCCAAAAAUCUAAUACAUAACACAAGACAUGUAGGCACUGCUUAAGGAUUUUUCAGA